UGCGAAACCUUUUUGGACCCACAGGUUAAAAAUGAAACAUUUGGACUAAACUGUCAAAAUGGCCCAAACCACAGGGACUAAAAUAACAUUUAACUCAAAAAUAAAUUUAUCUGUAGAUAGCUAUUUACAGUAACUAUCUAUAUCUAUAUCUAUAUCUAUUAUAUAUAAUAAAUGAAAAAAAUAUGGGACACAUGUCACUUGAUUAGGGCCUCUUGAUUUUGGUUUUGGCGGGAAAUGGGAUGGGUCUUUUUUUCACAUAUUGGUUCGGGUCCGUUUGUAUUUGGAUUGAUAAUUCGGAUCCAUAUAUAAUAUCUUGUAAAAAAAUGCCUUCCUUUUUCUGCUAUGUCACAACAAACUUUCAUUACCCUCUUCUUGAGAUCCACCGCCGCCUCCAUAAUCAUUCCUCUUUCAUUCUUUCUUUUCAAGAUCCCCCUCCAUCAGUGACUUUAAUCAUUUAUCAAGAACGAUAUUACAAGUGAAGAUUUGAUACAAUACAUGUAUAAGUCUAAAUCUUCGAUUGCUAAUCUAAAUAUGUUCCGAUUGAACCUUUUUUGCAUAUUUAUAAUAGAUGUUUGAUAUUCGGCUAUACAGACUGAUCAAUACUUCGAUUCUUUAAAAAAAAUAAGGUAUGUUUUACGGUUUUGAUUUUAUAAUUUAUGAUUUAUUAGGUAUUGGAUAUUCGAUUUUGUUUAUUCAGGUUCAUGUGUUUGAUGUUCGGCUAUACAGAUUCAUUCGACUAUAUUUUCAUGUGUUUUAUAAUUUAUGAUUUAUUAGGUAUUCGACUUUAUUUAUUCAGGUUCAUUCCGAUUUAAGGUUUUGCGAUGUUGAAGAUAGGGUUUCUUUUUUUCGCUGGAUUGUCUUUAUGAUUUAGGGUUUCUAAUUGUUGAUUUUUUUUUUUGGUUUUUAAUGUCUUCCUUUUUCCGAUGUUCUGUUUCAGUAACUCCUCUGCAAUCUUAUUAAAAAGCUGAGUAGCCUGCUCAUGAUUUAAGAUUAGUGAAACAGAACUGUUGUCCUUGACUUCAAUUUUGAUCUUAAACUUAGGAACAGGUUGAACAAUAGUUUCGUAACAUUAGUAAUUAGAGCACUCAUAAACAUCAUAUUUCUUAAAAUCAUCAUAGUCAUCGGGUGCGAUAUAUUCUUCAACCCCAUCAGAAGCCUCAUGUGAACAUGUAGGACACGUUAUGUAGUAACUCCUCUGCAGUCUUAUUUACAUGUUCUUCGUUAUGGAGACGAGUACAUCUAAGACAUUUAUUAUUUUUACUUAUAUAUAUGCAGAUUUAAAUCUCAAUCCUUUUGUCUUCAAUAUGUCUUUUUAUAAAGUCCUUACGUCUUUUACUUCGAAUAUAUUGGUAAGCUUAUUAUACUAACACAUCGUUUUUGGUUAUUUUUUUCUUUCUGUUCAUUUUGAGGUGCAUGUCAAUCCUUGGGACUCUUUUGAAGUGUCAAUCAGCAAGGAUGUGAAGUCUAAUUGUUAUUUCUUCAGUGAUGGGUGGGACGAUAUUAGUGCUUACCUUGGUCUUCAUGGUCAAUUUAAGAGUUUUGAACAUGAAACUUGAAAACAUAACCAUGUUGAACAAUCUCAAUCUGUUGACAAAAAACUAUACGCUCAAGUUGAAGAUCAUUUGCCUUUGGUGGAAAUGAUGCAUGGCCUUCCGACUGAAACUUUUCGUGUAGAGAUGAUAUGUAUGGAUGAAGAGGGGCAAAAGAUUCAGACCCUUUUUUACUCAAGGUCAAUUGUAUGUUGCGUUAUCAAGAGUUAAGACGAGAGAAGGUGUCAAAAUUUUAAUAUUCGAUGACGAAGGAAAACCAACCAAUGAAACUGCUAACGCCGUUUACAAAGAGAUUUUUGGAAAUUAAUGAUGUAAAUUUUUUUAUUUGUUUCUAUUGACUUCAAACUUUGUUUCAUUCUGCUAAUGUUAUAGUAUGUUUCUGAGCUGUUGAUUUAUUUUA